rnacentral:rRNA from 1 species
UACGUAGGGCGCAAGCGUUGUCCGGAAUUAUUGGGCGUAAAGAGCUCGUAGGCGGUUUGUCGCGUCUGCUGUGAAAUCCCGAGGCUCAACCUCGGGCUUGCAGUGGGUACGGGCAGACUAGAGUGCGGUAGGGGAGACUGGAAUUCCUGGUGUAGCGGUGGAAUGCGCAGAUAUCAGGAGGAACACCGAUGGCGAAGGCAGGACUCUGGGCCGAUACUGACGCUGAGGAGCGAAAGCGUGGGGAGCAAACAGG